rnacentral:rRNA from 1 species
UACCCUGGGGAUAACAGGCUUAUCUCCCCCAAGAGUCCACAUCGACGGGGAGGUUUGGCACCUCGAUGUCGGCUCAUCCCAUCCUGGGGCUGUAGUAGGUCCCAAGGGUUGGGCUGUUCGCCCAUUACAGUGGUACGCGAGCUGGGUUCAGAACGUCGUGAGACAGUUCGGUCCCUAUCCGUCGCAGGCGUAGGAAAUUUGAGAAG